AGGCCUAGUCCACAUGUACACGGGUAUUUUUAAAAACAGAGUUUUUCCUCCUUCAUUUUUAAAAAAAAAUCUUGUCCACAUGAAAACGCAAAAACGCAGUCUGAAGCACUGUCAAGAGCAUGCCAAACCAACAGGUGGCAAUAUAAUCUCAACCGUAAAGCCAUGUUGGCCAAUCAGAAGCCUGAGAAAAAUGUUAUUACCGGUUCCGCUAGGCUAACAACAUGGCACACCGAGGAAGGGGAGAAUCAUAUGUGUGGACUGAUAAUGAAGUAAAAUUAUUUCUUAACGUCACAACUGAAUAUAAAAAUACUAAAACACAGGAAAACGUGGACUGGGAGUCUUGUCAGUCCAAGUACGCUGACGUCCUAGCUCUUUUCCUUGAGCAGUACCCUCCUGAGACGUCCACAGAAUUUCCUCAUCGGAAAGAGGAUAUAACCAGGGCCAUCAUCACCAACAAGCUAAAGGUGAUACGGGGGAAAUACAGACAAGCGGUGGACUCCGGUCGGAAAAGCAGUCACGGCAGAGUGGUUCUACUCUACUUUGAAGUAUGUGAGCUGAUAAGGGGUGGUUCACCAGCAACGACUACCAUUUCAUCUGGUAUAGAAACGACAGAUGUUAUUACGGCUUCUCAUUGCAGAUCGGAUUCUGCAUCUUCAUCUACACUUGACUUGUCGUUUGUGGAAAUGUCUUCUGUGUCUGAUAAACUUCAAGAGUCUGACGGCAGCAAUUUGGCCCCCUCGGUGGUGAAGGAGAGAAGAGAUCUACUUCAUGUAUUUUAGCGUUUAAUCGUUGAUCAUUAAGCAAAUGCAUAUGUUUAUAAAAGUAAACUGCAGACUAACUCUAUAUGCCUACCAGUACUGUGUAGAAGAAUAUAAAUAUCAGUAAAAGUAAAAGUGCAGAAUGGCCCCUUUUAGAAUAACAGAUUUUUUUUUUUACUGGAUUUUAAGUAUUGAUGUAUUAAUGUGCUCAUCUCUUUAGUGAAACAUUUGGUAAAGGCAAAACUCAAAGCACACAAACAGGACAGACUUAAAAGAAAGCUUCCAGCUGAGACACAGUUGCUGUAUGCAGUCGAAGAAGACAUCCAGAUGAAAAAGAGAAUUUUGGACAUGAUGGAGACAUCGGAGAGGCAUGCUUCUGAAAAUUUCAGGAAAUUAUCUACUAGUCUUGAGAGUCAAUUGCAGAUGGAUUUUCACUACUGAGACAAGUUAUAAUGCAUCCACUACCACAACCAUUCAACGUGCCACCAUACCAAACCAGGGGCCCUUAUGGACGCAUCUAUGCAUCUUCACCACCACUCAACAUUAUAGCUGCCACAUUUCCACCCAACACUACACCUUCCACAUUUCCACCAAACACUACUAUAAGUCUAUCACCACAUACACCUGGCUCUACCUCACCUGUACAGAGAUACGGGCAGUUUUCCAUCACACAAGCCCUUUUUCAGGAUGACAUUUGAAAUUCUUGCCACAAAACAUUAGAAGGCUAUGGUUUGAGCUGCAUCUUUGUAUUUUAUUCAUUUUUAUUUAUUGUUUUUUUAUUAUUAUUAAUAUACUUUAGAGUCAUGACUAAGUAAAACUUUGUGUUUAAAGACUGUUGCUGAAAUCCACCUGUUCUUGAGUUGUUGAAUGUGUUGUGUUAGCUGUUAGGCAGCUCCGAUAUUCUAUAUACAAAACAGCUAGCACUGGAAUAUAAGAAGUCUUUAAUGGGCUGUCAAACCUUUUAAAUUUUGUUGUACAAAAAAGUUUUUCUGUAAAGACAGCUCAUUUUGUACUAUCUUGUAAUUUGCAAGUGCCUUCCUCAUUACAUGGGUUUUUGAUUUUGUUUCUUAGUUGCUGUCUUGGCCCGCCAACAACAUGAUUUUGCCACCUACUUUAUUUAACCCUCAAUUUUAGGUUAUGAGGUCAGGUUAUGCUACUUUAUUUUAUUUUAAGUGGAUGUUGGUGACACCAAAAUGAGCUGACAAUGCUCAUUAAGUUCAUUUGUUAAAUUGUGCUGAAACAGUAUUCAGGCAAGUUAUGACAUUUUGUGCAGUGGCUGUUUCAGUGCCAACAAUAUCAAAAAUUUAUUCAAUAAAAAAAAAAAAGUUCAAAAACUGUUCAGAUGUCCAUGUUAUUAUUUAACAUAAGAUUAAUGCUCUGUGCCAUAAGUGCUGUAAUCUCAAGAACAUGACAACCACAUACAGCUUUCAUUUUAAAUAAAAUUGUGUUAACAAUGAUUACCUGUGGGAAUGGAAAAAAAAAAACGUUUAACUUAACACACUUUUUUACAUGUUCAGGUUUGACUGGCAUGUAACACACACAUACAGUGCA